rnacentral:rRNA from 1 species
UGGGGAAUAUCGGACAAUGGGGGCAACCCUGAUCCAGCCAUGCCGCGUGUGUGAAGAAGGCCUUUUGGUUGUAAAGCACUUUAAGCAGGGAGGAGAGGCUAAUGGUUAAUACCCAUUAGAUUAGACGUUACCUGCAGAAUAAGCACCGGCUAACUCUGUGCCAGCAGCCGCGGUAAUACAGAGGGUGCGAGCGUUAAUCGGAAUUACUGGGCGUAAAGCGAGUGUAGGUGGCUCAUUAAAGUCACAUGUGAAAUCCCCGGGCUUAACCUGGGAACUGCAUGUGAUACUGGUGGUGCUAGAAUAUGUGAGAGGGAAGUAGAAUUCCAGGUGUAGCGGUGAAAUGCGUAGAGAUCUGGAGGAAUACCGAUGGCGAGGCAGCUUCCUGGCAUAAUAUUGACACUGAGAUUCGAAAGCGUGGGUAGCAAAACAGGAUUAGAUACCCUGGUAGUCCACGCCGUAAACGAUGUCUACUAGCCGUUGGGGUCCUUGAGACUUUAGUGGCGCAGUUAACGCGAUAAGUNGACCGCCUGGGGAGUACGGCC